AUUGAACGCUGGCGGCAUGCCUUACACAUGCAAGUCGAACGGCAGCACGGGAGCAAUCCCGGUGGCGAGUGGCGAACGGGUGAGGAAUAUAUCGGAACGUGCCCAGUCGUGGGGGAUAACGCAGCGAAAGCUGUGCUAAUACCGCAUACGACCUAAGGAUGAAAGCGGGGGAUCGCAACAACUCGCGCCAUUGGAUCGGCCGAUAUCAGAUUAGCUAGUUGGUGGGGUAAAGGCCCACCAAGGCGACGAUCUGUAGCUGGUCUGAGAGGACGAUCAGCCACACUGGAACUGAGACACGGUCCAGACUCCUACGGGAGGCAGCAGUGGGGAAUUUUGGACAAUGGGCGCUAGCCUGAUCCAGCAAUGCCGCGUGCAGGAUGAAGGCCUUCGGGUUGUAAACUGCUUUUGUACGGAACGAAACGGCCCUUUCUAAUACAAGGGGCUAAUGACGGUACCGUAAGAAUAAGCACCGGCUAACUACGUGCCAGCCGCCGCCGUAAGAC
rnacentral:rRNA from 1 species